UCUCUUUCUAUUUUUCUUUUUUUUCCAUUCCCUUGAUUACCUUUUGUCCCCUCCAAACUGCAAACGCUUUUUCUGUCUUCUUCACAGAGCCACAAAAACACUGGUCUCCAAGCCACAAAAUAGACACUCUCUUCGUGUUCUUCAUAGAGCCACCUUCAUCAUCGUUGUAGCAUUCUCCUGCUUUUUGAGAUUUUCCUCGAUGAUCUCCUCCACUGAAACUCCAUCAUAAAUGUCACCUUCUUCUACGUCUUCGACCUUAGUCUCAUCCUUCUCCAUCUCACUUAGGGUUUCCUCAAUGAGUUGUUCUAUGUGUCCACCUACACAGCACACCUGACGUGGAUUAUUUAUUCUUUUAUAUUUUUUUCUGAUGUAAGUAAAACGUGGGGUGUAGGUCUCAAAAUCAUUUUGAAAUUCCUUCAGCUCCCCCCAACCCCCGCAAGCGCUCCAGCGUUCCUUUGUGCUCCACUGCGUCCUCCACUAUGUUCUCUCUUUGACCGCCGACGACAGCUCCCUCUCUUGUCACCAACCUUUAUUAACACUUACAGAUUGACAAUGCUCUCAAAUCUCUCUCAAGAUUGCAGAAAGAGGAUAGGAUCAAGAGGCGAGCACAACAAAUAUUAGUAUUUGGGGCUUGAGAAAACAAUGGCCAGACUCAAACAAACCUAAAAGAGAUUCGUUUUUCCCUGGUUUUCUUUGCAACCAAACAAAAGGGUGUGACCAUAUUGAUGCGAUGUAAUUCCAUAGAGAUAGGUGCUUAAUUCGGAAAAUGUAUGAAAUUUUAAUUAUUAGUCUGGACAAUUAUUAGCGUGCAAUGUUAUUGACUGAACUUGGACUUAUUUUUUGGCAGCAUCGUGUGACUAGACCAACAACAGCUAAUUUUUUGGCAGCUUCGUGUGACUGGACUUGGGACUUAUUUUUUGAUAGCUGGUGUACAUGCCAGUUUCCAAACAUGUUGUGGAGACCCUAUUUGUGGACAUAAAUAUUGGUAGUUUGUAUAGAUAAACAUUGUAGAUUGUGUAGAUGCUGUUUGUGUCCAGUUGUGUAUAUAAAUGUUGUGAAUUGUGUCCAGGUGUAUGUGUAGGUGGUUUUGUGUCCAAUUAUGUAUGGAUUUUGUGUAUGGGCAGUGUGCUGUGAGAUGUAUAGCUUGUGAUUCCAAAACAGGAAUGAGAGUACAUGUUGUAUAGCUUACCAUACAAAAUUUAUAAAUGAAAUCAAUCAUGCUUCAAUGUCA